AGUCAAGAGGGACGGGGAGAGAUCAAGAGAGGACAGAUUUGCGUGUCAUCUGCAUGUAAAUGAUAUAGGAAGCCAAAGGAGCUAAUGAGUUUACCAAGGGAGGCAGUAAAUAAGGAGAACAGUAAGGGACCAAAGACUAAACCUCAGGGGACACCAAUAGAGAGGAGUUGGGGAGAAGAAGCAGAGCUAGAGAAAAACACUGAAAGAGCGCUGGGAGAGGUAGGAGGAGCAUCAGGAGAGAGCAAUAUCUUGUAGACCGAUAUUGCGAAGGAUGAGAAGAAGCUGUUGAUGAUAAAGUGUCAAAAGCUGCUGAAAGGUCAAGGAGAAUUAGGAUAGAGUAGAGACCACGAGAUUUUGCAGCGAGUAGAUCAUUGGAUACAUUGGUCAGUGACGUUUCCACAGAGUGCUUAGCACGGAAACCAGACUGAAGCGGACUAGCAGAGAAUUGGACUUGAGGAAGUCUGUCAAUCUCGCAUACACAACUCUUUCAAGGAUCUUAGAUGCAAAAGGCAGUAGCGAGAUAGGACAGUAGUUGGAUGGGGAGUUAGAAACAUAGAAUGUGAUGGCAGAUAAGAACCAUUCGGCCCAUCUAGUCUGCCCAAUUUUCUAAAUACUUUCAUUAGUCCCUAGUCUUAUCUUAUAGUUAGGAUAGCCUUAUGCCUAUCCCACGCAUGCUUAAACUCCUUUACUGUGUUAACCUCUACCACUU